ensembl:snRNA U1 U1 spliceosomal RNA
AUACUCACUUGGCAGGGGAGAGACCAUGAUCACGAAGGCGGUUUCCCCAGGGUGAGGCUUAUGCUCUGGGCUCCAGAUGUGCUGACCCCUGCGAUUUCCCCAAAUGUGAGAAACUGGACUGCAUAAUUUGUGGUAGUGGGGGACUGUGUUUGCGUUUAA